rnacentral:rRNA from 1 species
GAUGAACGCUGGCGGCGUGCCUAAUACAUGCAAGUCGAGCGAACAGAUAAGGAGCUUGCUCCUUUGACGUUAGCGGUGGACGGGUGAGUAACACGUGGGUAACCUACCUAUAAGACUGGAAUAACUCCGGGAAACCGGGGCUAAUGCCGGAUAACAUUUAGAACCGCAUGGUUCUAAAGUGAAAGAUGGUUUUGCUAUCACUUAUAGAUGGACCCGCGCCGUAUUAGCUAGUUGGUAAGGUAACGGCUUACCAAGGCAACGAUACGUAGCCGACCUGAGAGGGUGAUCGGCCACACUGGAACUGAGACACGGUCCAGACUCCUACGGGAGGCAGCAGUAGGGAAUCUUCCGCAAUGGGCGAAAGCCUGACGGAGCAACGCCGCGUGAGUGAUGAAGGUCUUCGGAUCGUAAAACUCUGUUAUUAGGGAAGAACAAAUGUGUAAGUAACUGUGCACGUCUUGACGGUACCUAAUCAGAAAGCCACGGCUAACUACGUG